GUGGCCAUAUUACGUUAAACUGGUUCUCGUACGAUCCCCAAAGUUAAACAACGUCGAGCCUCAUCAGUACCUAGAUGGGUGACUGCUUGGGAAU